rnacentral:lncRNA from 1 species
AUGCAGCAGGAGCAGGAAGAUUUGGGAAAGGAAAGGGAAGUUUUAAGUUUAAUUAAGAAGCGAAGUGGAAAACUCGGCGCUCUCACACGAAAGCGGAAUGAAAUUCACACUUUGAUCGAUAAUGGAGAGAAUACCACCGUCAUUGAAGAACACAUGAAAGUUUACAAUCGUUUCCUGGAGGAGUUUAUGGACGUACAAGUGGCUGUGCAAAGCUUAUUGAACGAGGACGAGAGAGAAUCUGACCACACCGACUGGUAUGAACCCAAAUUGAUAAGCUGCAGAGAAUUUAUUGAUGACAUAGAAACGUGGCUAAAACAAGACGCCUCGCAGGAUGCCGCUAAUAAUGUAAGCGCCGUGGAAAAUGUGUCUCACGCUGCAUCUCGUAAAAGCUAUGACGUAGAGCCCCACGAUAGCGUCUCACAGACCGCAAAACCCGCACGCCCCAGUAGCAAAGCAGCUGCGAGCAAGUCCUCUAGUUCAUCCUCUGCCAGUAGAAAAAGUAAAACCCUUUCAGAGAUGGCAAUUCAGGCCGAGCUGGAGCGCGUAACCCUGCUAAAGCAGGCUGACGCGUUACAAGAAAAACACGUGCUUGAACUUGAAGAAGCCCAAUUAAACGCAGUAAUGAAAGCCAAAAGAGAAACGCUGUCCGUUAAAACUAACUUGGCCAUCGCAAAGGCGAAGUCACAGGUGUUUAAAGAACAAGAAGAAACACAAAAAUCGAAAAGUCUAGCGUCCUCUGGAGCCUCUACACCCACACAAUUCAUAUCGCCCCAAAGAGCUAUGAAACAGACAAAAAUGUCACCGGCUCCCGUUCCGUUGUCUACCGUUGGACCUACUACGUCAGUCGCCCCCCCCAUAUAUGCAAAAAGCAAAGCAAAAACACGUCAUCUACAGCAAAGUGCAGACAGUAAUAAUGACCAACCCGAUUUAGCUGAAGCAAUGCGCAGGCAAAAUGAGAUUACUGCAAUGCUGAUUAAGCAGCAGAGACAGUCACUUUUACCACCCAUACAAGUACCAGUUUUUGAUGGUGAUCCCCUGCAAUUCAGGUCCUUUAUCAAAGCAUUUGAACAAGGCAUUGAGAGCAAGACAGAUGAUAUGCAGGUUAAGCUUUAUUAUUUAGAGCAAUUCACAUCUGGGCAGCCCAGAAAGCUGGUGCAGAGCUGCAUGCAUAUGAGCCCACAAACUGCAUUCGGAGAGGCUAAAAGGCAGUUGGAGUGGAACUUCGGAAGCAAAGUGAAAGUUACAGCUGCAUUUCUGAACAAGGCAUUGGAUUGGCCAGCCCUGAAAGCAGAUGACGGCGUAGGUGUAGCAUUAAGAUCAUACACAUUUUUCCUAAGAACCUGUUAUAACACAACGGAGGACGCCGGAUAUUUGGACGAAAUGGAAAACUCCUCACACAUGAAGGUGUUCGUCUCCAAGCUGCCGUUCAGGAUGCGUGAGUCCUGGAGGAUGAAAGUGUGCAGCAUCAGAGAGGAGCAAAAACGGAGAGUGAAAUUCAGAGACCUACUGGACUUCCUGGAAAGGCAAGUGAGAGCUGCAAUGGACCCCGUCUUCUGUGAAAUUCAAAAUACAAGAGCAAAAGCCACAACACCACCAACCCCCAAGUCAAUUGGAAAAGCCAAAGGCAGCAGCUUCGCCACCUCUGUUGCUCAGGUGCCACACCAGAGUGACACGCCCAACGUUGGAAAUGCAGGCAAAAUUCAGUGCUUGUUUUGCAAUGACGGCCACAUACUUGACAAGUGCACAACAUUCAAAAAGAAACCAAACAAAGACAAAAUUACGUUUUUACAGAGCAAAGGCGUGUGCUUUGGAUGCUUAGUACAAGGUCACUUAAGCAGGAACUGUCAAGAAAGGCUGACAUGCCGCACCUGCAGUAAGAAUCAUCCAACAGUUCUGCACAUCGAACCAAAACCUCAGAACACCCCAGCCGACCAUGAAACACAAACGGUCUCCAACGCACUUGUGUCCUUGGACUCUGAAGGUGAUACUGGGGUCGGUUCUAAAGAAUGCUCGCUGUCUGUUCUACCUGUCAAAGUCAGACUAAACAAAAGCACAAAAGUAAUCGAAACAUACGCUUUCUUGGACCCAGGCAGCUCAGCUACAUUCUGUACCGAGUCAUUAAUGACUCAGCUGAACGCACCUGGACAAAAAAUGGACAUACUGCUGAAGACGAUGGGGCAGGAGCAGUAUGUGAGUAGUCAUAAGAUCUCUGGCUUGGAAGUAGCUGCCUUAAAUGACAACAAAUUCUUGAGACUGCCAGAUGUGUACACUCAAAAGUCAAUCCCUGUCACGAAAGACAACAUACCCAAAGAAGAAGACCUUAAAAAAUGGCCUUACUUACAAGAAGUGGAACUGACGCCCAUCAAUGCAAGUAUUGGACUGCUGAUUGGUGCAAACGCACCUAAAGCACUGGAACCAUGGAAAAUAGUCAACAGUGAAGGUAAUGGACCCUACGCUGUCCAGACUCGUCUUGGAUGGGUCAUCAACGGCCCACUUGGACAAGAAGAUAGCGACGACAGCGAUACAGCUUCCGUACAGGUGAAUCGCAUCUCAUUAGGAAAAUUGGAAGAAAUGUUGAUUAAGCAGUAUAAUCAAGAUUUUGUCGAACAGCACUGUGACGAACACGCUGAAUUGUCUGUGGAGGACAAACAGUUAAUGGAAAUAAUGUCAAGCUCAGCAACACUUACCAAUGGUCAUUACUACCUGAAGCUGCCAUUCCGCGACUCCAAUGUAGUGAUGCCCAACAACAAACAAGUCGCCCAGCAGAGGGCGCAACAGCUGCUGAAAAGGUUCAAAAGGGACCAGUCAUUUUGUGAGGAAUACAAAGGAUUCAUGCAAGAUGUUAGCACAGAGGGAUACGCCGAGAUCAUACCUCAAGAUCAGCUGAGCCAUGAGGAAGGUAAAGUCUGGUUCUUGCCGCAUCACGGAGUCUACCACCCCCGCAAGAAAACAUUACGCGUGGUGUUCGACUGUGCCUCAUGUUUUGCUGGAACAUCCCUGAACAAACAGCUCCUCCAAGGCCCCGACCUGACAAACACCUUGUUAGGUGUGCUCACCCGCUUUCGUCAGGGUCCAAUGGCACUAAUGACUGACAUCAAAGGAAUGUUCCAUCAAGUCAGAGUGGCUGAGGAACACGCAAAUUACUUGCGCUUUCUGUGGUGGCCUAACGGCGACCUAACCAAAGACCUUGCUGAGCACAGAAUGUUAGUCCACAUCUUCGGAGCAGUGUCCUCCCCCAGCUGUGCUACAUACGCCCUGCUAAAAACUGCUGAGGAUAAUGCACAUCUGUAUCCAGAGGAGGCCAUUAGCACCAUCAGAAAGAAUUUCUAUGUCGAUGAUGCCCUCAAGUCAGUUCAUUCAGUCGAACAAGCCACCUCUCUCUACCAGCAACUCACCGAGGUAUGUGCUAAAGGAGGGUUCAAGCUCAAUAAGUGGAUAUGCAGUGACCGCUCUGUUCUCUCUGAGAUCCCCGAAGCAGAUUGA